GGCAGUGCCGGGUAGCUAUGUCCGGUAGCGAUAAUCGCUGAAAGCAUCUAAGCGAGAAGCGUGCCUCAAGAUAAGCUCUCCCGGGGCGCAAGCCCCCUAAAGACCACUUGUAGACUACGAGUUUGAUAGGCUGGGUGUGGAAGGCCUGUGAGGGCUGUAGCUGACCAGUACUAAUCGGUCGUGCGGUUUAACAUC
rnacentral:rRNA from 1 species